AGCUCUCAUAAGAAAAGAGAUACAUAAAUAAGAGAAGAAGAAUAAAAGAUAUCUUAUUUCUACCAUGAUAGAAUCAUUAUGCCGACAAGAUGACUUAAACAAUCCUGAUUGUUUUAGAAGAAGAAAAGAUACACAAUCAUUUAUAUUGAUUGCACUAAGUUCGACGAGAUGACGUAGCUCCUCCAAGUCGUCAUGUUUGGAGCUGAACAAGAGCUCAAUCUCUCUUCAUAAACCAUAAAUGAAUAUUCUCACCACCACUUCGUCUCAUAAACACACGACCAUUUAGUUUGAUGAGAUCAAACUCUUCCCGUUAUUAUAAAAGUCAAACAAGUCAAUAAUAACGAACCUUGAUCACGC
rnacentral:lncRNA from 1 species